UCCUGCAUGCAUCCAAUUCGAUUAAAAAGUAGAAAGUAUAAAAAGAUAUAGUGCGAAGUUGAAAUGUCUGCAAAAAAUCGAAAGAUAUUAUUUGGUUCGAAAAAUUAUUCGGAGAACAAAGUUGAAAGUAUCCGGGCUUUUGGAAUCGUUUACUUUACGUUGAAGUUACAAGGAAUGUUUAUAACAGAGGACUAUUGCUGGAGACACAAAAUAUACGUUGUUAUCAAUUAUAUCCUCACCAAUAUUUUCUAUUACUCCUCAUACAUCAUUGAACUGUUUUUCGUAAAAAAUCUUAGGCAGUUAUUAGAGAACGUUCCAAUGAACGUUUGUUUGACAGCCUGCACCAUUAAAUUCUUUGUUAUUCUGAGACUGAGACCCAGCCUCAUUGAAAUCAAUAAACAGUUGAAAUAUCCAGUCGACCUAUGACGGGCAAGCAAAAGGAUCAACUGAGAAGGGCAAUCAAGUUUUCCAGGUUAAUUUCACUAAGUCUUAUGGUGUAUUAUGUUGGCGGGAAUUUAGUGCACGCUCUUGCUGCUGCGCUUUCGAAUGGCACCAAACUUGGAUUCGAAACCUGGUUCCCUUUUGAUUGGAAAAAGAGUGGCUUUCGUUACUGGGUUUCGCUAUUUAUACAGACCAUAUUUCAAGUACAAAUGUCGCUGGAGCAGGUACCAAAUGAUUCCCUUGGGGCGUUGUGCCUUUGUGUAUUGAGUGCACAUUUACAAAUAGUAAUGGAACGGUUUGCAAAUAUUCACUAUGACCCUGAGAAAACAGAGGAGGAAAGUUUCCAAGACUUUAUACAGUGUUUAGAGGAUCACCGGAUCAUCAUGGAUAUCUUCAAAGUGAUACAGAAUAGUAUUUCCUUCACAAUUUUCAUUCAAUUUAUCACAUCAAUUAUCGUAUUUUCAACCUCGGGCCUGAUAUAUCUCAAAUUCUCACCAUCGUUAACUGAAACUGUGGCAGUGUUUCUAUUCAUGACAGCAGAAAUUAUACAAAUUUUUCCAUCGUGUUACUAUUCAGAUAAGUUUAUGGAAAAAACGGAUCGAAUGGUCUUCAUGCUCUACUCGUCGAACUGGAUGGACAUAUCACCAAGAUUUCGAAAGCAUCUUAUUAUAUUCAUGCAGAUGACGCAGGAGAAGAAAAUUAUAUUGGCUGGAAAACAAAUACCAAUAACCUUGGAUACUUUCAUGUCGCGUCUUCGAAAUAAUACAGAAAACUCUCUCUUUUACAAUUUUCAUUCAAUUCAUCGCAUCCAUUCUCGUAUUUUCAACUUCCGGUGUAAUAUAUCUCAGAUUCUCACCACCGUUAACCGAAACUGCGGCAGUAUUUAUAUUGAUGGUAGGGGAAAUUAUACAAAUCUAUCCAUCUUGUUACUUUUCAAAUAAGUUUAUGGAAAAAACGGAUCAGAUGGUCUUUAUGCUCUACUCGUCAAACUGGAUGGACUUAUCACCAAGGUUCCGAAAAUAUCUUAUUAUAUUCAUGCAGAUGACGCAGGGAAAGAAAAUUAUAUUGGCUGGAAAACAGAUACCAAUAACUUUGGCUACUUUCAUGUCGGUAAUGAAGGCCAUGUACACAGUGCUGACGAUCAUGAACCCAUCAGAGUGAGGAAUGGUAACGACAUCUCUUAUGGAAGUGCAGUUUGCGUCUACUUUUACCUUCGCGCACUCAAUAAUUUUACCAAAUGCAAUAUCAUGUGUAGCUUUCAGUCAAUAAAAUCUAACAAGUCGA